rnacentral:rRNA from 1 species
AUUGAACGCUGGCGGCAUGCCUAACACAUGCAAGUCGAACGGCAGCACAGUAUGUAGCAAUACAUAUGGGUGGCGAGUGGCGGACGGGUGAGUAACGCGUGGGAAUCUGCCCUAUAGUGGGGGACAACCCGACGAAAGUCGGGCUAAUACCGCAUACGCCCUACGGGGGAAAGGCUUCGGCCGCUAUUGGAUGAGCCCGCGUCGGAUUAGCUAGUUGGUGAGGUAAUGGCUCACCAAGGCGACGAUCCGUAGCUGGUCUGAGAGGACGAUCAGCCACACUGGGACUGAGACACGGCCCAGACUCCUACGGGAGGCAGCAGCGGGGGAUAUUGCACAAUGGGCGAAAGCCUGAUGCAGCAAUGCCGCGUGUGUGAAGAAGGCCUGCGGGUUGUAAAGCACUUUCGGUAGGGAAGAUAAUGACGGUACCUACAGAAGAAGCACCGGCUAACUCCGUGCCAGCAGCCGCGGUAAU